UACGUAGGGGGCUAGCGUUGUCCGGAUUUAUUGGGCGUAAAGAGCGUGUAGGCGGCCAGGUAGGUCUGCUGUGAAAACUCGAGGCUCAACCUCGAGACGUCGGCGGAAACCAUCUGGCUAGAGUCCGGAAGAGGAGAGUGGAAUUCCGGUGGAGCGGUGAAAUGCGUAGAUAUCGGAAGGAACGCCGGUGGCGAAAGCGGCGUGCUGGACCUCUUCUGACGCUGAGGCGCGAAAGCCAGGGGAGCAAACGGG
rnacentral:rRNA from 1 species